rnacentral:lncRNA from 1 species
AGGCUGCCCAGGGAGGGCGUGGGGUCUCCCUCUCUGGACACUUUCCAAACCCACCUGGACACAUGGGCACAUUCCUGUGUCACCUGCUCGGGGUGACCUUGCCUUGGCUGGGGCGUUGGACUAAGCGAUCUCCACAGGCCGCUUCCAGCCCUAACUAUUCUGUGAUGUCGUGAUUCAAGACGAUUUAAAUUUUAAAUUUGGAGGUGACGUGACUCCAUACACUUUGGAAAACUCCGGCCCUCGAGGCUCACCCUAAUUUGAGGUGUCCAGCAGGCGCCACCAAGCAUUGAACAGAUCACCACGACUUCUAAUGGCACAUCAGACACCAGCUCUCUAACCAGCAUGGUAGGCGCCCAAUAUGAGGCCUGCAUCAGGCAGGUGGGAUUUGGACUCACAAUCCUCUCACAGAGCAGGAGGUAUGUCUAAAUCAGCCAGGAGGAAGAGACGAAGAGAUAGCACAUUGGAAAUCCCGAUUUAUCCCAAGAGCACUGCUGAAUGCCUGAAACCACACAGAAGUGACAGUCAACCCCCAUUUCUAAGGAAUGGAAGGUAAAUAAGGCGGUGCAAAGCUUGUAAUAUUUCUAGCAUGAAACUACUUUGGGAAAAGCUUGGGUGCCUCCUGAAGCUUUAGGGAUCUAAUGAGGUUCUCAUGGUUUAAUUAAUUACCAUUUUGAACUUUCUUGACUAACCUCCACUUAAAGUAAUUAAGCCUUUUUGUGGAUCUG